rnacentral:ribozyme from 1 species
ACUAAGUCGUUAGAAAGUUGCGACUGUAUGAGAGUAAUCUUAUACAAAAAAAUUGGCUAUAUGCUGGAAUAUCUGUGAAUCUCAGACUACUUAUUGUUGUGGUAUAAUAAUCACACGAUGAGUGAAAAAGUUUUGAGUGCAGACAAUCAGCAGGGAAGUUCUCUUAUAGAUAAGAGUAACCCCUCAGAGACUACACGCCGAUCUCCGUUUACGUCCGCAAUGAACAAAAAAGAGAUUUUAGCAUAUGUGCAUGGUGCUAUG